AUACGUAGGGUGCGAGCGUUGUCCGGAAUUACUGGGCGUAAAGAGCUCGUAGGUGGUUUGUCGCGUCGUCUGUGAAAUUCCGGGGCUUAACUCCGGGCGUGCAGGCGAUACGGGCAUAACUUGAGUACUGUAGGGGAGACUGGAAUUCCUGGUGUAGCGGUGAAAUGCGCAGAUAUCAGGAGGAACACCGGUGGCGAAGGCGGGUCUCUGGGCAGUAACUGACGCCGAGGAGCGAAAGCAUGGGUAGCGAACAGGAUUAGAUACCCUGGUAGUCCAUGCCGUAAACGGUGGGCGCUAGGUGUAGGGGUCUUCCACGACUUCUGUGCCGUAGCUAACGCAUUAAGCGCCCCGCCUGGGGAGUACGGCCGCAAGGCUAAAACUCAAAUGAAUUGACGGGG
rnacentral:rRNA from 1 species